UUCCCUCCCUUCAUCUCAGGCAAGGUGCUCUGCUAGGGCACACCAUCCUUACGUCUUCAAGUUAGCAAAACCCCUUCUAUUCCCAGCUCUCUAAUAUAGUUCUUGGAGCCGUGGUAUUUCUGUUGCGGGUCAGUGUCGUGUUGUUAGCAUCUAAGCAAGAUGGGAAUACUUCUGGAGGUAGGCCUGAUGGUGGUAGCGGUGCAGCUUAGUGGGCUCGUUGAUGUGGCCCUCGAAGAACAAUUCUCUGGCCCUAGUGCCCCUUGUAAUCCCUAGCUCUAGGAGCUUUUCUUUUGCAUGACUGUUAACUUUUUCUUAUGUUGUGUAUGGCAUAGUAGUAUGCCCAAAUUUGUUUUCACUGUACACUUCUAGAUGACUGUAACAGUUACCUCUCCUACGUUUUA